rnacentral:lncRNA from 1 species
CUGCAAGUCUACCUCUUUGGUAGACUUCUCCUUCUACCAUUCAUUGCCCAUCUCCUCCCUGCUAUCCUUUCUCCCUACAGCCUUCUUUGUGGCUACUUUUAAACAUACAAAGCUGAUUGAGCUGUUCCUUGCUGGAACCCUCCCUGAGGACUCUCCCUAAGCCUCUAGCUGCAGCCUCCUCUGCUACUAUCUGAAGUGGAACAGAACAGAAAUAAGGUCUGUUUUCUUUCCGCUUCGCUGUUCUGUUUCUGUCCAAAACAACCGUCUCUCUGACACCUUCGAGGUGUCCCUUUGUCUCUUUGAGGUUCCCUCCGUGACACUGGCUACUUUGUAACUCUAACACUGUCAGCAAUUAAUUCCCAAAGGUGAGGUCCCCGUGGGAAGUGGGAAAACCCAGCGAAUCACCAGGGACCCGCCUGAUUCCGAAAAGGCUGGAUGCUGGCUGGGAACCGGCCCCGCAGCUCCGGCGUCCCCGCCUGCCUGCGCGGCCUUCAGCUGGGGUUACGGAGGGCUCCCAGCGCCGAUCCAAACCGCGUUCCAGGCGGGGUGGGCGGGCCCCUGGCCAGCGAGGCCGAAGCAAAACAACCCGCCCAGGCGUCCAGAGCGUAUCCAACCCUGGAGAACCUGCCCCGGAACCAAGAGCCGCAGCCAGCUCAGGCCUCUCGAGUGGGGCCUUU